GCGGAGGAAAAGAAACUAACAAGGAUUCCCCUAGUAACGGCGAGUGAAGCGGGAAGAGCUCAAAUUUGUAAUCUGGCACUUUCAGUGUCCGAGUUGUAAUCUCGAGAAGUAUUUUCCGCGCCGGACUGCAUACAAGUCUGUUGGAAUACAGCGUCAUAGUGGUGAGAACCCCGUAACUGAUGCAGAUGCCCGGUGCUUUGUGAUAUACUUUCGAAGAGUCGAGUUGUUUGGGAAUGCAGCUCAAAUUGGGUGGUAAAUUCCAUCUAAAGCUAAAUAUUGGAGCAAGACCGAUAGCGAACAAGUACCGUGAGGGAAAGAUGAAAAGCACUUUGGAAAGAGAGUUAACAGUACGUGAAAUUGUUGGAAGGGAAACGCUUGAAGUCAGACUUGCUAUUCGGAGUUCAGCCGCAAGGUGUAUUCUUCGAUUUGCAGGCCAGCAUCAGUUUUCGGGGGUGGAAAAUCGUGGUUUGAAGGUAGCAACUUCGGUUGUGUUAUAGCUUUCCACUGGAUUCAUCUUUGGGGACUGAGGAACGCAGUACGCUUUUUGCAAGGCCCUCGGGCUUUUCGUACUUAGGAUGCUGGUGGAAUGGCUUUAAACGACCCGUCUU
rnacentral:rRNA from 1 species